UACGGAGGGGGCUAGCGUUGUUCGGAAUUACUGGGCGUAAAGCGCACGUAGGCGGACAUUUAAGUCAGGGGUGAAAUCCCGGGGCUCAACCCCGGAACUGCCUUUGAUACUGGGUGUCUGGAGGUCGAGAGAGGUGAGUGGAAUUCCGAGUGUAGAGGUGAAAUUCGUAGAUAUUCGGAGGAACACCAGUGGCGAAGGCGGCUCACUGGCUCGAUACUGACGCUGAGGUGCGAAAGCGUGGGGAGCAAACAGG
rnacentral:rRNA from 1 species